rnacentral:rRNA from 1 species
UACGAAGGGUGCAAGCGUUACUCGGAAUUACUGGGCGUAAAGCGUGCGUAGGUGGUUGUUUAAGUCCGUUGUGAAAGCCCUGGGCUCAACCUGGGAAUUGCAGUGGAUACUGGGCAACUAGAGUGUGGUAGAGGAUGGCGGAAUUCCCGGUGUAGCAGUGAAAUGCGUAGAGAUCGGGAGGAACAUCUGUGGCGAAGGCGGCCAUCUGGACCAACACUGACACUGAGGCACGAAAGCGUGGGGAGCAAACAGG